UCGCCCUGACAGUGUUGGGGGACUUUUCUCUCAUUAAAACAUUAUCAUCCCUUCUUUCGCUGACAGCUUUUUUAUCAGGUUGCUCCGUUGUCUCGUCGUCGGCUGUCAUGAGAGGCUCCUGCCUUAUACCGGAUGUGUUGUGGUGGCUUUCUUCUGUCUUUGAACUGGAAUCCACAUUUGUUCUGAGCUGGACACGCCUCCUUUUGGUUUUUCCUCAAGAGCUUCUCCAAAAUAGAACUGGCCUCCGCGGAUGCAUCUGGAUUUGAUAGAGGUUCACGGGUGAGCUGGAGCCUAUCCCAGUUUACGGCUGGGUACACCCUGAACUGCUCACCAGAAAUCCAUGCUAGCACAGGGAGAACAUGCCAACUCCACAAGACAUCAAAGUCGAGAUUCAAACCCAGACCUCCCUGGCUGUGAGGCGGACAUGCUAACCAAACUUCCACUGUGUUGCCACAACAAACUUAAAUGGCAAAUAAACCUUACCAGAGAAAAAAAAUACACAGAACACCGAGACAAUUAAACUGCAGUGAAAAUAAUCCUGGACUCGCCAUCACGGUCUGCACAGUUUUAAACGGUUUAAGCGUGGAAUCACGCAGCCAGCAAUUCAUAGU